rnacentral:lncRNA from 1 species
GCCAAAAGCAUAGAAAUUGACUCCGUUCUUUUGUCUUCACUCGCUAAAUCAAUCAUUCCCUAUUGAAUCGGAGUUUCCUUUUUGAUUCUCCGUUACAAUCAAAAACCCUAAAUCCAGUGUUUCCUUUCAUCCUUUGCCUCCCAAUUGAAAGAACGUAGAUCUCAUCUCUCUACUCUCUACCUGAUUCUUAACACAUCGACCCUUGGGGCCAAGGGAGAUGGUAAAAAAGAAGAGACAGAGAGUGGUGGAGUAAUGGCUGCCGUUCAAGAGAAACAAGAGAGAGGGAGAGAGGAAGCAAAUGAGGGACGCAUAAGGGAUAUGAAGGUCAUCUUCUCCGACGACCGGUGUCUGCGAUAGGGAUACCGGUUUCUUAGUAUUCAGCGGUGGCAGUUCCAAUGUUGUUGAUGGCGGCUUCUUUUUUAAAUGAACUGUGGAUGUAGGUUCGAAGAAGAAGUGUAUUAUCCAAUCACAGGCACAUUAUAAUAUAAAUCUGUAGAGUAUUUCUGUCAAUGGUCAAACGUUGUCCAUUGACCCGUCGACCUUUUGCGAUAUCAGACAACCAAGGUGGAAGUGGAACCAUAGUUGAUUCAGGAACAACUCUGUCAUACCUUGCUGAAGAUGCUCUUAACCCGUUUGUGGAUGUUAUCACACAGGCGGUUUCACAGUCUGUACAACCGCUUAUUUCAAAGAAAAAUAAGUGUUAUAUAAUUACCUCCAGCAUGUCCCUAAGGUAAAUGAAGAAAUGCCCACUGCUGAUGAAGCAACGUCGGAUUAUUAGAGGCUAAUGGACAUUCUAUUAUAUGAUAUUUUAUAUAAAAAUAACGACGGAAGCGGCUAGGGAUGUUUUGGAUGACCAAUGAUGGGACGGAAGCUAUGGUUUGACAGAAUUACAAACCUAAUAUGUGAUUGUUCCAACAUGAGCAGGCGUUGAACAUUGGAAGACGGUUCAUUUAUGAUCGAGAAAACGGUCUGUGGGCAAAUUGCCUUAUAAUCUAAACAGUGACAAAUUGGUUGAGCUCUUUAAUUUUGCUGAAGUUGUUGAGAUUGCAAAGGUGGUGUAUUUUGUUAAUUCUGGAACUAAAGCAAAUGAGUUGGCAACGUUGAUGGCACGACUGCAUAGGGAGAAACACAAGCUAAUUGCCUUGAGAAAUGCAUAUGAUGGUUGAAGUGCCUCAAGAAUUGGAUUGACAGCUCUGAAAACAUGGAAAUACCCAAUACCUUAGGUGAAUUAUAAUAGGGAUACUGGACAGAGUAGAUGGUUUGGGUUUGUGAUAAUGAGUAUAGUUGAAGAAGCUUAUAAAGCUAUGGAGACUUUUUGUGGCUAUUCUGGGCUCAAUUACUUCGGUUUCAGUGUGGCGGGUUCUACGCUGUGGAAGGCCCACUAUGGGAUGGGGUUUAAGCAACAGUUGCUGGUGAUGACCAGAGCCCACAUAAUCAGCUGGGGGCACGGUUUCUUGCGUUUACGGAAGGCCCAAACCUAGCCUGAUUGUCCUACAAAAAGAACCCGGGUUUGGGAUUUCCGAAAGUGGUUUAAUUUUCAAGCGAAGGCCCAAUACAGGGUUCUUAUUGUGAAGACCAGGGCCCACCUUCAUCGUUUGGGCCUGGUGAUGUUGGGCUUGGUUUACGAGUGGUUUAAUCAGCGGUGGGUGCCCGCUUAUAUAACUACUUAUUGGCUUUGUAGUGGGUGGGAAAUGAUAAAAUGUCUAAAAGCUUCGGUCAGGCUCUGUUUAAUGAGAAGGCUCAAACAAGGGUUGGGCCACUGAUGGAAAUCAAGCACAUAUCGGCCCAACUUAAAAACGUCUUGCUGGGCAUCUUUUUUGUGGUUUGUGCAAAGGUGCUAACGAUGAAGAUAAAGAGGAUAAAUGUAGUUUACAAAGAAGUUUUUACUGAUCUGUGAUGUUCAUGUACCGUAAUAUUUUAAAUUUUUUAGUGCAG